rnacentral:miRNA from 1 species
CCCGACCUGGUUUUGGGGGGGGGGGGAAUAAAGGAAAAAUUUUUUUUCUUUAUUUCCCCCCCCCCCAAAAAGUAGGUGCGUC